rnacentral:rRNA from 1 species
UACGGAGGAUCCAAGCGUUUAUCCGGAUUUAUUGGGUUUAAAGGGUGCGUAGGUGGCCUGUUAAGUCAGGGGUGAAAGACGGUAGCUUAACUAUCGCAGUGCCCUUGAUACUGAUGGGCUUGAAUGAACUAGAGGUAGGCGGAAUGUGACAAGUAGCGGUGAAAUGCAUAGAUAUGUCACAGAACACCAAUUGCGAAGGCAGCUUACUAUGGUUUUAUUGACACUGAGGCACGAAAGCGUGGGGAUCAAACAGG